rnacentral:rRNA from 1 species
UACGGAGGGUGCAAACGUUGCUCGGAAUCAUUGGGCGUAAAGCGCACGUAGGCGGUCUGUUAAGUCGGAUGUGAAAGCCCUCGGCUCAACCGAGGAAGUGCAUACGAAACUGGCGGACUUGAAUAUGGAAGAGGGUCGCGGAAUUCCCGGUGUAGAGGUGAAAUUCGUAGAUAUCGGGAGGAACACCAGUGGCGAAGGCGGCGACCUGGGCCAAUAUUGACGCUGAGGUGCGAAAGCGUGGGGAGCAAGCAGG